AAAACCUAGACCCCCAUGUUCUUGCUUAAAGAGGCUUUAGCUUUCCCUUUUGGAUGGUCCCCGGCGUUUUAGCUAGAUGGUGGGGUAACGGCUCACCAAGGCAAUGAUACGUAGCCGACCUGAGAGGUAAUCGGCCCCAUUGGGACUGAGACCCGGCCCAAACUCCUACGGGAGGCAGCAGUAGGGAAUCUUCCACAAUGGACGAAAGUCUGAUGGAGCAACGCCGCGUGAGUGAAGAAGGGUUUCGGCUCGUAAAACUCUGUUGUUAAAGAAGAACAUUUGUCAGAGUAACUGUUCAGGUAUUGACGGUAUUUAACCAGAAAGCCACGGCUAACUACGUGCCAGCAGCCGCGGUAAUACGUAGGUGGCAAGCGUUGUCCGGAUUUAUUGGGCGUAAAGCGAGCGCAGGCGGUUUUUUAAGUCUGAUGUGAAAGCCUUCGGCUCAACCGAAGAAGUGCAUCGGAAACUGGGAAACUUGAGUGCAGAAGAGGACAGUGGAACUCCAUGUGUAGCGGUGAAAUGCGUAGAUAUAUGGAAGAACACCAGUGGCGAAGGCGGCUGUCUGGUCUGUAACUGACGCUGAGGCUCGAAAGCAUGGGUAGCGAACAGGAUUAGAUACCCUGGUAGUCCAUACCGUAAACGAUGAAUGCUAAGUGUUGGAGGGUUUCCGCCCUUCAGUGCUGCAGCUAACGCAUUAAGCAUUCCGCCUGGGGAGUACGACCGCAAGGUUGAAACUCAAAGGAAUUGACGGGGGCCCGCACAAGCGGUGGAGCAUGUGGUUUAAUUCGAAGCUACGCGAAGAACCUUACCAGGUCUUGACAUAUUAUGCAAAUCUAAGAGAUUAGACGUUCCCUUCGGGGACAUAGAUACAGGUGGUGCAUGGUUGUCGUCAGCUCGUGUCGUGAGAUGUUGGGUUAAGUCCCGCAACGAGCGCAACCCUUAUUAUCAGUUGCCAGCAUUAAGUUGGGCACUCUGGUGAGACUGCCGGUGACAAACCGGAGGAAGGUGGGGAUGACGUCAAAUCAUCAUGCCCCUUAUGACCUGGGCUACACACGUGCUACAAUGGAUGGUACAACGAGUUGCGAACUCGCGAGAGUAAGCUAAUCUCUUAAAGCCAUUCUCAGUUCGGACUUGUAGGCUGCAACUCGCCUACAUGAAGUCGGAAUCGCUAGUAAUCGCGGAUCAGCAUGCCCGCGGAUUCGCUUG
rnacentral:rRNA from 1 species